UUGAACGCUGGCGGCAGGCCUAACACAUGCAAGUCGAACGGUAACAGGAAGAAGCUUGCUUCUUUGCUGACGAGUGGCGGACGGGUGAGUAAUGUCUGGGAAACUGCCUGAUGGAGGGGGAUAACUACUGGAAACGGUAGCUAAUACCGCAUAACGUCGCAAGACCAAAGAGGGGGACCUUCGGGCCUCUUGCCAUCGGAUGUGCCCAGAUGGGAUUAGCUAGUAGGUGGGGUAACGGCUCACCUAGGCGACGAUCCCUAGCUGGUCUGAGAGGAUGACCAGCCACACUGGAACUGAGACACGGUCCAGACUCCUACGGGAGGCAGCAGUGGGGAAUAUUGCACAAUGGGCGCAAGCCUGAUGCAGCCAUGCCGCGUGUAUGAAGAAGGCCUUCGGGUUGUAAAGUACUUUCAGCGGGGAGGAAGGGAGUAAAGUUAAUACCUUUGCUCGUUGACGUUACCCGCAGAAGAAGCACCGGCUAACUCCGUG
rnacentral:rRNA from 1 species